AGCAAACGCUGGCGGCAGGCCUAACACAUGCAAGUCGAACGAAGUCUUCGGACUUAGUGGCGGACGGGUGAGUAACACGUGGGAACGUGCCUUUAGGUUCGGAAUAACUCAGGGAAACUUGUGCUAAUACCGAAUGUGCCCUUCGGGGGAAAGAUUUAUCGCCUUUAGAGCGGCCCGCGUCUGAUUAGCUAGUUGGUGAGGUAAAGGCUCACCAAGGCUACGAUCAGUAGCUGGUCUGAGAGGAUGACCAGCCACAUUGGGACUGAGACACGGCCCAAACUCCUACGGGAGGCAGCAGUGGGGAAUCUUGCGCAAUGGGCGAAAGCCUGACGCAGCCAUGCCGCGUGGAUGAUGAAGGUCUUAGGAUUGUAAAAUCCUUUCACCGGUGAAGAUAAUGACUGUAGCCGGAGAAGAAGCCCCGGCUAACUUCGUGCCAGCCGCCGCUGUAAUAC
rnacentral:rRNA from 1 species